rnacentral:sRNA from 1 species
UGGCCUCGGAGAAGCCGCUGGCGGCAGUCACUUGUACCGCGCCGGUCAACAUCGCGGUCAUCAAGUACUACUCUCACUGUGACACCCAGGCUGGAGUGCAAUGGUGUGAUCUCAGCUUACUGCAACCUCCGCUUCCCGGGUUCAACCGAUUCUCCUGCCUCAGCCUCCCGAGUAGCUGGGACUACAGGUGUCCACAUUUAUCACCCCUGGAACUGUCCGCCGUCCCCAGAGACCUCCCCUCGCACAAAACCGAGCAGAUUGUGUGCUUAGCGAAGACACCGUGAAAUAAGACUUCAGCUGAAGCACUGCGCAGUGCUCCCAGGGCAAACGUUUCCUUUCGGGCUUUCCGGAAGGCUGAUUUCACUUGCUGUCCCAUGGCCAUGCUGGGCAGAAAGGGGUUUAUCCUGGAUGUUCCUGGGGAAUAUGAGCAGUGAGAUCUGAGGAGUUCUCAGAGCUGGGCUCCUUUUGUUUGGGAAGAUGGAGGGGAGGCAGGCCGCAGUCAGAGCGAUCCGCACCUGGGCACUCACAGAUGGUGGAGUAGAA